GCCAGCGUAGCUCAAUCGGCAGAGCAUCCGCCUUGUAAGCGGCAGGUUGCAGGUUCAAGUCCAGCCGCUGGCUCCA
rnacentral:tRNA from 1 species